UCCCAUUCCGAACAGAGAAGUUAAGCCCCGCCGAGCCGAUGGUACUGCGGUCACACGCGGGAGAGUAGGUAGCCGCCAACC
rnacentral:rRNA from 1 species